UUACCACGUCAUCCAAUAAUUUCAACAGCAGAUCAACAGAAGGUCCAACUAGGCAUUCACAUUUUUAGAAAGCUCUAAGCAACCCC
rnacentral:lncRNA from 1 species